UGAAGCGGAUAUAUCAGGAGAAGAGGAGGGGGGAAACUCUAAUAAAGCUAGAAAGAAAGAAAGAAAGAAAGAAUUGGAAAGGCCUGAGCAUUUCAGAGAGAUGCAGCAGGUACAUGUAAACAAGGGCUGAACAGAGGAGAAGACCUGAAUUCAGCAUGGAGUUUCUGCACCGAAGUGGGCAGCACUGUCAGUUUUGAUAGAACCUGUUUGGUUUUGGAUCACUGUAUCACAGCAUUCCAUUUCCUCUCCACUCCAAUGUCUGUUCUACCAACAGCUGAUCAGCACUAUCAACCCUGUCAGCGCCAACCCUCGGCUUUGUGCAAGGAUCUCUUGACUGAAGUUCAAAUUUAAGUAUUUUUUCUAUCAUAUAUUCAUCUCAGUAGAGCGUGGUGGAGUGUGAAAUUUUGUAAGAAUCAAUCAUUUCUCUUCAGAGAGUACUUACUCUAAAAAACUGGUGAUAUAAUCCCUGCUGCAGGCUGACCAUGAGAAGGGGUUGGUGUUCGCUGUAAUAUGAGCUGCCAUAAGUUUUGCUGCUUCAUGACCUUUGGUCCCACAAGAAUUUCCAAUUCCAUCAUGGUUCAUACCAAAACUGUGCAGUGGGUGGGGAGAGAGUUCAUUAUUUUCAUAUGGAAGAGACCCCAUUCUAACAUUGUAUUAUUUUCACAUAGAUAUAAUAACAAAAAAAUGUACAGAGUGAACAAACAUAAUGAAUUCUAUCUAAAACCUAUUUGUGUACAGAUUUGUGCCUGCAAUCUUAUACAAGUAUAGUAUUAGUAUAUUUUAUAUAUAGGACUAAAUUUUUCACUUUAGCACAUUCUAAAUAUUUGACUAGCACAAUAUGGUUGCAUAAAAAGUGAUUUAAGGAAGCUAAAGUAAUUACUGUGAUAAGUAGAACAGAAAUUAUGAAGUUAGGUAAUACACAUUAUAAAAUAAGGUGAUGACUUAGAUAGAUAUCUUUUAGCUAUCUAAAUUCUGCAGAACUUUACAGGAUGUUUACUAUCUUCAAGCACCACUGAAGUAAAUGGGAUUACAAAGCCACAAACGAUCUAUGAAUCUUUCUUCUGACCAUUUAUCCCUUGUUCUCACUACUAUGAUCUCUAAACACA